UCCUCCCCAUUGUCUCUCUCUGGUCUUUAUUAUGAGGUCACUAAUUCCAUCCAUGAGGGCAGUCACUCUCAAAAGGCCUCACCUCCCAAAGGCGCCACCUCCUAAUACAAUCAUCAUGGAUGCCAGGAUUUUAAUAUAUGAAUUUUUAGGAGGAACACAAAAUUCAGUGUAUUGCAACUAAUUUUGCAAAUAUUGGCUGAUUGGCAGUUUCUCCACUUUUAAUGCCAUUCAUUGGCUCAUGCUGCCUAAGGAGUCUUGUGGCUUUUGCUCUUUUUUGCUUUAUCUGCCCAUUUGUCAAUUUUCUGCAAGCCUGGUGGAGACCAAGCAACUCAAUCAGCUCUUCCUCUUCCUAUUGCCCUCAGAGCACCUCCUAGUGGCAAAAAGCAGGCAUUGUAAUCCCAGCAAGGCUUUUGAAAUUUGCUUCUUUCAUCCAUUUAUUUAGUUAUUGCCUGCAAAUGUUUCAACGAUAAUGUAAUGAUCCCUCUGCUGUCCAAAGACCAUGGUUGACCACAGGUAAUUGAAACCCUGGAAGGUGAAACUGCAGAUAAGGAGGACUACAGUGUUCAACUAUUUACAAAUAAUGACAGUGGCCACAAAGAUUACCUUGAAAAGAGACCGUGAGACAGUUUCACACAGACUGUGCCUGGAUUUCCAUGAGUCUCUGCCAACUGCUUUUUAAGAGGUUUGUUGGCAGGAAGUGUCUUGGUUUUCUUGAUGGCAGAGAUAAAGAAAAAAAGAAAAAAAACAAACGUGAAAAAUUC